rnacentral:rRNA from 1 species
UACGUAGGGUGCGAGCGUUAAUCGGAAUUACUGGGCGUAAAGCGUGCGCAGGCGGUUUUGUAAGCCAGAUAUGAAAUCCCCGGGCUUAACCUGGGAAUGGCAUUUGGGACUGCAAGGCUUGGAGUGCGGCAGAGGAGACUGGAAUUCCCGGUGUAGCAGUGAAAUGCGUAGAUAUCGGGAGGAAUACCGAUGGCGAAGGCAGGUCUCUGGGCUGACACUGACGCUCAUGCACGAAAGCGUGGGGAGCAAACAGG